CAGUGAAAUUGAACUCGCUGUGAAGAUGCAGUGUACCCGCGGCAAGACGGAAAGACCCCGUGAACCUUUACUAUAGCUUGACACUGAACAUUGAGCCUUGAUGUGUAGGAUAGGUGGGAGGCUUUGAAGUGUGGACGCCAGUCUGCAUGGAGCCGACCUUGAAAUACCACCCUUUAAUGUUUGAUGUUCUAACGUGGACCCGUAAUCCGGGUUGCGGACAGUGUCUGGUGGGUAGUUUGACUGGGGCGGUCUCCUCCUAAAGAGUAACGGAGGAGCACGAAGGUUGGCUAAUCCUGGUCGGACAUCAGGAGGUUAGUGCAAUGGCAUAAGCCAGCUUGACUGCGAGCGUGACGGCGCGAGCAGGUGCGAAAGCAGGUCAUAGUGAUCCGGUGGUUCUGAAUGGAAGGGCCAUCGCUCAACGGAUAAAAGGUACUCCGGGGAUAACAGGCUGAUACCGCCCAAGAGUUCAUAUCGACGGCGGUGUUUGGCACCUCGAUGUCGGCUCAUCACAUCCUGGGGCUGAAGUAGGUCCCAAGGGUAUGGCUGUUCGCCAUUUAAAGUGGUACGCGAGCUGGGUUUAGAACGUCGUGAGACAGUUCGGUCCCUAUCUGCCGUGGGCGCUGGAGAACUGAGGGGGGCUGCUCCUAGUACGAGAGGACCGGAGUGGACGCAUCACUGGUGUUCGGGUUGUCAUGCCAAUGGCACUGCCCGGUAGCUAAAUGCGGAAGAGAUAAGUGCUGAAAGCAUCUAAGCACGAAACUUGCCCCGAGAUGAGUUCUCCCUGAGACUUAGAGUCUCCUGAAGGAAC
rnacentral:rRNA from 1 species